rnacentral:rRNA from 1 species
AUUCGCGGCCUAUCAGCUUGUUGGUGGGGUGACGGCCUACCAAGGCGACGACGGGUAGCCGGCCUGAGAGGGCGACCGGCCACACUGGGACUGAGACACGGCCCAGACUCCUACGGGAGGCAGCAGUGGGGAAUAUUGCGCAAUGGGCGAAAGCCUGACGCAGCGACGCCGCGUGAGGGAUGACGGCCUUCGGGUUGUAAACCUCUUUCAGCAGGGACGAAGCGUAAGUGACGGUACCUGCAGAAGAAGCACCGGCCAACUACGUGCCAGCAGCCGCGGUAAUACGUAGGGUGCAAGCGUUGUCCGGAAUUAUUGGGCGUAAAGAGCUCGUAGGCGGCCUGUUGCGUCGGCUGUGAAAACCCGGGGCUCAACCCCGGGCCUGCAGUCGAUACGGGCAGGCUAGAGUCCGGUAGGGGAGACUGGAAUUCCUGGUGUAGCGGUGAAAUGCGCAGAUAUCAGGAGAAACACCGGUGGCGAAGGCGGGUCUCUGGGCAACAACUGACGCUGAGGAGCGAAAGCGUGGGGAGCGAACAGGAUUAGAUACCCUGGUAGUCCACGCCGUAAACGUUGGGCGCUAGGUGUGGGGGCCAUUCCACGGUCUCCGUGCCGCAGCUAACGCAUUAAGCGCCCCGCCUGGGGAGUACGGAAU